rnacentral:lncRNA from 1 species
UAAGGAAGAAAACGAUUGUUUUUUUCUGUUAUGUUUAAUCUGUUACAAUUUAUUGUUUGUCAGAUUUAUUUUAUAUGAUUCAGUUUUUAACUCCUGUAUGCUUAAUUGAUGAUUAGCUCAAACAUAUCUAAAGAUGGUGUCUCAUAUGGGAGAGCUCAAUCAUUGACACCUGUAAGCUAUAUAAGAGAAUGAUUGAUAACUGUGUAUAUAAACUUCGAGGGAGUCCUCUUCCUAUAUACAAGGUGAUAGGACGUGCCGCUGGAAUAGUUCACCUUUUCAAGCUUGAAAAUAUGUGAAUAGGUCAGGAAAACUAUCAGAAAUAUAUGAUAAGGUCAAUAAAGUUCCAAUAACUUGGUCUGUCAUCUUUCUUGGUGUUUCCAGCUGUGUUUUAUCAACCUAUUUUCACUCAUUUGGCACUUUGGUAUUUCACUGUUACAUUACACACCGAACCAAACCAAAACCAUAUGGGGAAAUGGUCACAUUUUUACCUACCUAAUAUAUGAAAAGGUUUACAUUUUUGAAAUCUAAAUUAUAUGAAAAGGGUGGGGUAACAGAAACCCAGCAGCACACCCUAUCAAUUUAAUAUUGAAGUGGCUCCCCGGGAUAUAAUCUGUAAAAUCAGAAAACAGUUUUUAAAACACUGCAUUACAUUGCUUUCUUAACAUGUAUCUAAUUAGGAUUCAUCAAUCAGUUUUCAUGGUCUGAUAAGUGUGAUUAAUGUAUUGUGAAAUGACAUUCAUUGAUGUUUGGUAUAGAAAUUGAAGUGUAUUAUAUAUAUAUAUUAUGAAUUAGAAUUUAUACCUAUCCACUCAUACUACCACACAUUGUAUAUAGAUAUAGAAUAUAGAUUGUUUAGGAUUUUAUUUUUAUGAAUACUUGUGUUAAGAGAAUCAAAACAAAGAACACUGUACUUCUUUUACAGCCUAUUGCAUUGAGUGUGUUGGCAAAGGUUAUAUCUUUUGAUACUUGCUUGCUUGCUGAACCGUGAAGUUGUUAAUAUGUUAGGUAAAUUACCCUCCUUUAAGAGUAGAUUAGUCCGAUAAAUAACCAAUCUAUCUGUCUGUAGGACCAGUCUUCUUUGAAAGGAGGCUAGUAUACCUUACCUAAUAAUGACUUCACAGUUCAGCUAGGAAGCAAGCUAACAAAAAAAUUUACCUUUACCUACACACUCAAUGAAAUCUGCUAUAAAUUUUAAGAAAGGCUUCCCAAUUUAGCUUAGCAAAUUUAACACCUUUGAAAGUUCAUGCUGUUAUAGAAAUGUUUGUAAAAAUAGUCCAUAUAAAUAACUAAUUGUUCUUUAGUUGUGUUAGUAAAGGGUUUUAACUCCUUGCAAGAGGUACAGUAAUAGCAAUAAAAGGAAUAUGCGAAAAAGAUAAAUAACCUUUUAAUUAAAGAUAAAUUACAUGUAUCUGAAAUGAAGUAGACAUCAGUUACCCAUCUUAUUAUGAAUGAAAAUUGGUUCUGAAAGUAAAAAAUUAGCUUACAUGGAUAUCUGUAAGAUUAAUAAUUAAUUUGCCAAAGGUUUCCACUCAAUUAAUUAAAUUACAAUUCAAAGACUAGAUUUUUAUGAUCAGAUAACUUUUAAGAUUAUUAAAAAAAAUCUGUGAAGAUAAUGAAUAUUCCCUCAAAAUUUUGAUGACUAAUCAAAAAACAUAUUUUGUAGAAGACCCCUAAUACAUUGAAAUAUGUAAUGAUUUGCCUUUCUUGUCAAUCAUAAAUGAAUUUCAGCUCUGGUUCAUUUCACUUUAAACAUGCAUGAACUUUUUCUUUAAAUUACAUCUACUAUAAACGUCUUCUUUGUACGGCACAUUCCAAGUAUGAUUUUUUAAUGGCAGUGUAGUAUGGUGAUAAAAUUGUGAUAGCACUGUUAUGUUUGUAAAGUUUAUGUUUUUGAGGGUGGAUAUUUUAUGGACAUGUAUAUAUAAAUUGUUUUUAUCAAUGUUUAUUACCCAGUAUAUAUGGUGUACAAUUUUGUUAAUAACGUUAUAUGAAACCAUAACCAUAAUCUUCGACAUCUUUCAAUUUUACAAUUUUUAAAGGCGGUAAUAUUUAACUGUUUUUACAUUUAAAAAAAAGUUUUAAUUCCAGUAAUGAUAGCUGUUUAAAUUAAAAACAAUUGAAAUUAGAAAUUAAUUCAUUACAGAAGUUUCAGGAAUUGACCUGAUGCAAUAUAUGAGUAGGGUAAAUAUCUCGUUAAGUCCCAUUAGUUAUUAUGACAUUUUGGAAGUAUAUGGUAUAUAUUUUGCAUUUUUAAAAGUCUAUUUAGAAAAUUGUUGAAAAUUAUUUUACUAUAGAUUGAAGGUGUAAGUUCCAAAUAAGCCCAUUGCUGGAUAAUGGUUGUUGUCUGUUUGAUUCAUAUUCCAAUAAAUGUAACGUAAAAUAUAUGUAACUUUGUUGUACAAGUUCGUAGACAAAUACAUUAUGCUGUCUUCAGAAUUGUGUUUGUCCAUUCAUUUUGUAUAUUUUGAUUUUGAAAUGGAAGUUAGGCAUUUAUUUUUUUUAUAACUUACAGGGUUCAAAUAGCAGGAAGUCAAUGAAAUCUGAUGGCAAAUUUUGAUAAGACUUGUCGAAAAAUCAAUCAUUCCAACAACAAAUUCUGUAAGUUUAUGAAUGUGAAAUAAUUGUACAUUUGUGAUGAAUAGGUAAAAUAUGUAUAUAAUUGUUCUUCUAAUACUGGGUAUUUGUUGAUUGACAUUUUAUUCUAUUGUGAAGUUUUAUUUUUAUAUAGAUAACUAAUAGGUCAUAUGAUUCCAUUUUCACAAAUCAAUAUAUUGUGGUAUUUCAUCUUUCACAAGUUUUCAAAGAUUAUAAGGUUAAUUUUGUUAUUGUUAUAUUGUAUAAGAAUUUUAAUAUUAUUAUAGUUUAUUAUUGACUUGGAUGGUUUCCUUUUUCUGAGAUUAAUAACAUUGAAACAUUUUAAUCCAAUAUAUAGAAAUUUUAUUUGUCUUUCCCAGGCCAGACUCGCACUCAAUGCAUUCAGUCUGUGAUAAAUUUCCAUGAGAAAAAAAUGUAAAAAUUAAAUACUAUGUCUGUAUAAAAGUUUUGUAUUUGAAGGAAAAUGAAUAUCUAAAUUACUAUUUACACUUGAAAAAAACCUGGUUAAAUUGAAGUUUUCCUAGUGCUUAUAUACAUAAAGCACUACUCUUACACCUAACAUUUCAUGUAAUGUAUAAGAUUAUGAAUAAAUGAAUUCUCUCAUAAAAUUUUAAAUGUGGAAUAAAUUGAUUGUAUUAUUUGGUAAGCUUAUGACUUUUAAUUAUUUAUCCAUUUUCUCAAAUAUUCAAAUAAAGAAAGUAUUCACCAAGACAAAAUAGCACAUGCAUUGUACAAUCAUCAAAGCAAAAAUUUCAAGCUAUUAAAUAAAAAUGUUGUCAGAAAUUAAGGUCUAUUGAAAAGGUCUUGGAAACCAAGUUAUAGCUCUUAUAUCUUCAAUCACAACAAAUGAAAAUAUUUUGGAACAGAAGUAAGCAGCAUAUAUGGGUCCAUUUGUGUACAUUCCAAUUUUACACUAUUAUUUUGUUGUUGUUAAGAAUAUAUUUAAAAGCAUUUUAUUAUUAGAAAUAAUUUGUUUAUAUCACACAUUUCCUUUCUUUUUUUAGAAAGAUUGUUCGAUUAAAAAUUGAAAAUAAUUAAUUCACAAAUUAUUUGCCCUUGUCUAAGAUUUUGCAAUUAUUUUAAUACCUUGUUACAGAAGCUGUGAUUGGUUGAAAUUUUUAAUGACCAAUGUUAUUCUUAUCAUAUUUGUUGAUAGACUUCCUAAACAUUUUAUGCUUCUGUUUUAUAAUUGUUUCAUUUAAUAGGUAGAUAUAUGAUGAUGAAAUUAUUCUCAACUGUAUUUUUCUGAACCCUUGAAUAAGUGAAUAUUCACAGAAUUUGUUUUACAAUGACCAGAGUUUUUUAUUGAUCUGAAAAUUUGUAUUUCAUCGUUGUUGUUUUUAAAAUAUAUCAGAAUUCACAAACCAUUUUAUCGAUAUCAUCUUGGUAACUCAUUAUACGCAAAUGUUUAGAUAUACAUUCUGUGAACACUUGUAAAUGCUGUGCACUUUACCUUUUCUUGUGCUUUCAUUUGUAAAAAUCAAUCAUUUAAGUAGUUUUAGUCAGGGAAUAUUGAUACAAAGUCAGACCUCUGUAACAACUGGUGUAGAAACGUUACUUUUGGGAAUUUCUAACAGCAGAAUUUAUCUUACAUUAUAUUAUGUACCAUUUACCAAAAUUUGUUCAUAUGGAGACUUAAAUAUCUUAAAAAAGACAGCUUUUUAGAGAGGGGUAGGGGUCUCAACAUACACAUUUGGGUACUGACAUCAUAUUUUGAAUAAGAAAAUAACAACCCAUUUAUAUAUACUUCCCAGGUAUGAUCUUAUUCAGAUGCCAAAGACAUGAUGUCAUUCAUAUUAUGAAGAUAAAUAGAUAUAAGAACACAUUUUUACAGACAUUUAACUGAAGAUGAACACAUAUGACCUAUUGAUAUAUCAAUGGCGGAUCCAGAGGGAGUUGGAACUCACCUUUUUUUUCAGCGAUCAAUGCAUUUGAAUGGUGACAUAUAAUUGGAACACUCACACAACCUUUUAUCCGGGGUUGGUAACACCCCCCCCCCCCCCCCCCUGAAAAAAAGAACUGGAUCUGCCCCUGUAUAUUACCUUGGUGAAAUUGCACCCUAACUCUAUAUUUUACAUUCCAUAAAAUCUUAGUUUACCUUUAUAGAGCCCCCCAAAUCCCCCUGUGAUUGGCAUUUAGCUUUAUGCAUUCAUAAAAUGAUAAGAAAUUGUUGGGUUGCAGAAGUAAAUUUUUAUCAACAUAAUAAUUAGAUAAAUUUGCUGUACAUACUUUUCUAUUAACUAAAUUAUCGGAUUUACCUUCCCUUCCUCUGGAUUAAAUCUUGCUUAUUAUAGUAACAAUUUGGAAUGAUCAUUUACUCUCAAGUGAGAUCCAAGAUGGGGAAGGACUCUCAUGCUACCUCAAGUUUAUAUCUUAAUCAGUUUCUUUGUAUUGUUUGAACUGUAAAAGAUAGUUUAUGGUGAAAAGUUUAUUAAUUGCAACCAUAACAAAACAAUUGUUAAUGUAUUUUCACUUAUCUGGUUAGUUUCUAGCUGAAUUGUAGACUUGUUUUUCUUCUCUUAAUGAAAAUAUGAGUAUUGACAAUAUCCCUUUAUAAUGUCCAGUUUUGAUUGUUUUUGGAUAAACAUAACUAGAAUGAUACUGAUUUCGUUAAAAGAUUUUUUAUGGUUAAACCACCGUACAUGAAAAUAUAGAGAUGUGUUAUACAAGUGUUCACUAUAAGACCAAAGUACACAGAUAUGAUCAACUAUUUUUACCAAUGAUGGAUAUUAAGAAGUUGAAUAAUGUAAUCUAUAAAAAUCUUUUUAAGUAUGUAUGUUGUUAUUUUUAAAAAAUACUGUUAAUAUACAAAACCAUUCAAACAGAUCAUGACAAUUAAAUACAGAUUAAAAAAGAAGUUAUUUGCUUUUUUUCUUUUUUUUUGCUGUUGUAAUUUCAUACUUUCUAGAGUAAAAACUUAUCAUUUAACGUCUUUCUACACCAGUUUAGUCCUUCUUUUGUUUAUAUCACUACAUCCUCACAGAACUUGUAUUAAACCAAAUUGUAUAUUGGUAAUCCAACAAUAAAUGUUUUAACACCCGAG